rfam:Biomphalaria glabrata isolate BB02 unplaced genomic scaffold LGTN_random_Scaffold650, whole genome shotgun sequence.
GGAUGUGUGGCUUAGUGGUUACAGCGUUUGUCUCUUAAUCAAAUCUCAUUCUAGUGGUCACGAGUACGAAUCCA